rnacentral:rRNA from 1 species
GAUGAACGCUGGCGGCGUGCCUAAUACAUGCAAGUCGAGCGAACGGACGAGAAGCUUGCUUCUCUGAUGUUAGCGGCGGACGGGUGAGUAACACGUGGAUAACCUACCUAUAAGACUGGGAUAACUUCGGGAAACCGGAGCUAAUACCGGAUGAUAUUUUGACCCGCAUGGUUCAAAAGUGAAAGACGGUCUUGCUGUCCCUUAUAGAUGGAUCCGCGCUGCAUUAGCUAGUUGGUAAGGUAACGGCUUACCAAGGCAACGAUGCAUAGCCGACCGGAGAGGGGGAGCGGCCACACUGGAACUGAGACACGGUCCAGACUCCUACGGGAGGCAGCAGUAGGGAAUCUUCCGCAAUGGGCGAAAGCCUGACGGAGCAACGCGGCGUGAGUGAUGAAGGUCUUCGGAUCGUAAAACUCUGUUAUUAGGGAAGAACAUAUGUGUAAGUAACUGUGCACAUCUUGACGGUACCUAAUCAGAAAGCCACGGCUAACUACGUG